ACUGUCAGGGUUAAGGUCAUGUGUUGGGGACCUAACGGCUGUGGCAGUUAUAUUCUGUCAGGGUUAAGGUCAUGUGUUGGGGACCUAAGGGCUGUGGCAGUUAUAUUCUGUCAGGGUUAAGGUCAUGUGUUGGGGACCUAAGGGCUGUGGCAGUUAUAUUCUGUCAGGGUUAAGGUCAUGUGUUGGGGACCUAAGGGCUGUGGCAGUUAUAUUCUGUCAGGGUUAAGGUCAUGUGUUGGGGACCUAAGGGCUGUGGCAGUUAUAUUCUGUCAGGGUUAAGGUCAUGUGUUGGGGACCUAAGGGCUGUGGCAGUUAUAUUCUGUCAGCUGGUUAUUGUCAAGCAGAAGACUGCCAGUCUCACGGUAAUUGACCAUUAAUGAACAUAAACAUGUUGAUCAUCUCCAGGCCUCCAUUCAAGCUGAUGAUGCACCUUAUAAACAGCUACAUUUUCAAGUCUAAUAAAUCACCUGAUUAAACACCA